ensembl:lncRNA
AGGCUUUCAGGCUGUCUAGUCACAGAGGAAGGCUGUGUGUCUCUGGUCUCAGCUCUGGAGUCAAACCCCUCACACCUGAGAGAGAUGGAUCUGAGUAACAAUGACCUGAAGGAUUCAGGAGUGAAUCUGCUCUCUGCUGGACUGGGGAAUCCCCACUGUAAACUGGAGACUCUGAGGUUCUCCAACAUUUACACAGCUCCUCAGAGGGAUAAACGAUCUGGAACAGACCUCGUUAGAUGUUGGUUCUCUGGAGCAAAUCGCAUGCAGCCGAACCCCGUCACAUUAUUGCUGACAUACAGCCAAGAAGGAUAACGGGCUCCAUAUGGACCCUGAACGGCUUCGGAAGAGUAGAGGACACAUCUGAGGACACAUCAGAGGACACAUCAGAGGACACAUCUGAGGACACAUCAGAGGACACAUCUGAGGACACAUCAGAGGACACAUCAGAGGACACAUCAGAGGACACAUCAGAGGACACAUCAGAGGACACAUCAGAGGACACAUCUGAGGACACAUCUGAGGACACAGAUGCAAUUCUACCUUUCUGUACGAAUGUUUUUUCAAACACACCGAGAACAGAGGAUUUAAACGGAUGGUCAACUCUCCCGGGAACAUCCACCAGCUCGCACCAUAUUCCUAACCCCAGCAAACAACGUACAAUUAGGGCACAAUGUUACGGGAUUCAUCCGUCGUAGGAGAGGAGGACCAAAAUCCAGCGUAGUUAUGGUUGAACAUCCUUAAUAAAGAUGAUAACGUGAACAAUAUACAUAUACAUAUACAAAUACAUAUACAUAUACAUAUAAUAUACAUAUACAUAUACAUAUACAUAUAAUAUAUACAUAUAAU